AAUUUAUCGUGAUGUAAAGGAGGACACUGUGUACUAUAAAUUCAGACGCAAAACUGUGUUCAGCAACUACAUCUGACUUGUAUACUUUCGACAAAAGAGCAAACAAGGAAACCAUUUCAAUAUGAAGAAAUUAGCUAUUGUUGGAGCAAUGUUUGUUUUACUUCUGAUCUAUUCAUGUGUGAAUGAAGUACAAGGGGCGGAACCCAAAAACAGUGUACGGGUUCUGAAGUGUUCUAAACACUGCAAUACUGCCAUUUACGAGAAGAAAGUGUAAAAAAUGUUGUAAAGAGAAUGGAAAGAAACACGGACGAUGCUUUUCUGUCUUUUGUGUGUGUUGGAACUGGCCAUAAGGUGUAGGAACAAUGAGCCCUAAGAAAACUGCUUUCUGUUAACAGUUGGAUUAAUAAAGAAAAUUAUGAGACAA